AUUGAACGCUGGCGGCAGGCUUAACACAUGCUAGUCGAGCGAUCGGCGGACGGGUGAGUCAUGUCUUGGCAACUGCCUGAUGGAGGGGGAUAACUACUGGCAACGGUAGCUAAUACCGCAUACCCUCAGAUGUGCCCAGAUGGGAUUAGCUCGUAGGUGGGGUAAUGGCUCACCUUGGCGACGAUCCCUAGCUGGUCUGAGAGGAUGACCAGCCACACGGGAACUGAGACACGGUCCAGACUCCUACGGGAGGCAGCAGUGGGGCAGAUGGCACAAUGGGCGCAAGCCUGAUGCAGCCAUGCCGCGUGUAUGAAGCAGGCCUUCGGGUUGUAAAGUACUUUCAGCGGGGAGGCGGUACCCGCAGAAGAAGCACCGGCUAACUCCGUGCCAGCCGCCGCGGUAAUAC
rnacentral:rRNA from 1 species